rnacentral:rRNA from 1 species
AACGAACGCUGGCGGCAGGCCUAACACAUGCAAGUCGAGCGAGGACUUCGGUUCUAGCGGCGGACGGGUGAGUAACGCGUGGGAAUGUGCCCUUCUCUACGGAAUAGCCCUGGGAAACUGGGAGUAAUACCGUAUACGCCCUAUUGGGGAAAGAUUUAUCGGAGAAGGAUCAGCCCGCGUUGGAUUAGGUAGUUGGUGGGGUAAUGGCCUACCAAGCCGACGAUCCAUAGCUGGUUUGAGAGGAUGAUCAGCCACACUGGGACUGAGACACGGCCCAGACUCCUACGGGAGGCAGCAGUGAGGAAUCUUAGACAAUGGGGGCAACCCUGAUCUAGCCAUGCCGCGUGAGUGAUGAAGGCCUUAGGGUUGUAAAGCUCUUUCAGCUGGGAAGAUAAUGACGGUACCAGCAGAAGAAGCCCCGGCUAACUCCGUG